rnacentral:rRNA from 1 species
CACGUAGGCACCAAGCGUUGUCCGGAUUUAUUGGGCGUAAAGAGCUCGUAGGCGGUUCGGUAAGUCGGGUGUGAAAACUUUGGGCUCAACCCAAAGCGUGCACUCGAUACUGCCGUGACUGGAGUUCGGUAGGGGAGCGGGGAAUUCCUAGUGUAGCGGUGAAAUGCGCAGAUAUUAGGAGGAACACCGGUGGCGAAGGCGCCGCUCUGGGCCGAUACUGACGCUGAGGAGCGAAAGCGUGGGUAGCAAACAGGAUUAGAAACCCGCGUAGUCC